UNUGACUUGAGUGCAGAAGGGGAGAGUGGAAUUCCAUGUGUAGCGGUGAAAUGCGUAGAUAUAUGGAGGAACNCCAGUGGCGAAAGCGGCUCUCUGGUCUGUCACUGACGCUGAGGCUCGAAAGCGUGGGUAGCGAACAGGAUUAGAUACCCUGGUAGUNCACACCGUAAACGAUGAGUGCUAGGUGUUAGGCCCUUUCCGGGGCUUAGUGCCGGAGCUAACGCAAUAAGCACUCCGCCUGGGGAGUACGACCGCAAGGUUGAAACUCAAAGGAAUUGACGGGGGCCCGCACAAGCGGUGGAGCAUGUGGUUUAAUUCGAAGCAACGCGAAGAACCUUACCAGGUCUUGACAUCCCGAUGCUAUUCUUAGAGAUAGGAAGUUACUUCGGUACAUCGGAGACAGGUGGUGCAUGGUUGUCGUCAGCUCGUGUCGUGAGAUGUUGGGUUAAGUCCCGCAACGAGCGCAACCCUUAUUGUUAGUUGCCAUCAUUAAGUUGGGCACUCUAGCGAGACUGCCGGUAAUAAACCGGAGGAAGGUGGGGAUGACGUCAAAUCAUCAUGCCCCUUAUGACCUGGGCUACACACGUGCUACAAUGGUCGGUACAACGAGUUGCGAGCCGGUGACGGCAAGCUAAUCUCUGAAAGCCGAUCUCAGUUCGGAUUGGAGGCUGCAACUCGCCUCCAUGAAGUCGGAAUCGCUAGUAAUCGCGGAUCAGCACGCCGCGGUGAAUACGUUCCCGGGCCUUGUACACACCGCCCGUCACACCACGAGAGUUUGUAACACCCGAAGUCGGUGAGGUAACCUUUUAGGGGCCAGCCGC
rnacentral:rRNA from 1 species